rnacentral:rRNA from 1 species
AUUGAACGCUGGCGGCAGGCUUAACACAUGCAAGUCGAGCGGAGAGAGGUAGCUUGCUACUGAUCUUAGCGGCGGACGGGUGAGUAAUGCUUAGGAAUCUGCCUAUUAGUGGGGGACAACAUUUCGAAAGGAAUGCUAAUACCGCAUACGUCCUACGGGAGAAAGCAGGGGCUCUUCGGACCUUGCGCUAAUAGAUGAGCCUAAGUCGGAUUUGCUAGUUGGUGGGGUAAAGGCCUAACAAGGCGACGAUCUGUAGAGGGUCUGAGAGGAUGAUCCGCCACACUGGGACUGAGACACGGCCCAGACGCCUACGGGAGGCAGCAGUGGGGAAUAUUGGACAAUGGGCGCAAGCCUGAUCCAGCCAUGCCGCGUGUGUGAAGAAGGCCUUAUGGUUGUAAAGCACUUUAAGCGAGGAGGAGGCUACUUUAGUUAAUACCUAGAGAUAGUGGACGUUACUCGCAGAAUAAGCACCGGCUAACUCUGUGCCAGCCGCCGCCGUAAAAC